AUUGAACGCUGGCGGCAUGCUUUACACAUGCAAGUCGAACGGCAGCGCGGGCUUCGGUCUGGCGGCGAGGGGCGAACGGGGGAGUAAUACAACAGAACGUGCCCAGGAGGGGGGUAUCGCUCGGCGAAAGCCGGAGUAAUACAGCAUACGACCUGAGGGGGAAAGAGGGGGGUCUUCGGACCUCGCGCUUGUGGAGCGUCCGAUGGCAGAUUAGCUAGUUGGUGGGGUAAAGGCCUACCAAGGCGACGAUCUGUUGCUGGUCUGAGAGGACGACCAGCCACACUGGGACUGAGACACGGCCCAGACUCCUACGGGAGGCAGCAGUGGGGAAUUUUGGACAAUGGGCGAAAGCCUGAUCCAGCAAUGCCGCGUGUGUGAUGAAGGCCUUCGGGUUGUAAAGCACUUUUGGCGGGAACGAAAAGGACUGUGCCAAUACCACGGUUCGAUGACGGUACCCGCAGAAUAAGCACCGGCUAACUACGUG
rnacentral:rRNA from 1 species